rnacentral:rRNA from 1 species
UACGUAGGAGGCGAGCGUUGUCCGGAAUCACUGGGUGUAAAGCGCGUGUAGGCGGCCUGCCAAGUCUGCUGUGAAAGCGCCUGGCUUAACCGGGCGAGGUCGGUGGAAACUGGCGGGCUGGAGGACGGUAGAGGGGGGUGGAAUUCCCGGUGUAGUGGUGAAAUGCGUAGAGAUCGGGAGGAACACCAGUGGCGAAGGCGACUUCCUGGCCUGUUCUUGACGCUGAGGCGCGAAAGCUAGGGGAGCAAACGGG